UACGAAGGGGGCGAGCGUUGUUCGGAAUUACUGGGCGUAAAGGGCGCGUAGGCGGCCGGUCACGUCAGAUGUGAAAGUCCUGGGCUUAACCUGGGGACUGCAUUUGAUACUGAUUGGCUUGAGUUCGGGAGAGGAUAGCGGAAUUCUCAGUGUAGAGGUGAAAUUCGUAGAUAUUGGGAAGAACACCGGUGGCGAAGGCGGCUAUCUGGACCGACACUGACGCUGAGGCGCGAAAGCGUGGGGAGCAAACAGG
rnacentral:rRNA from 1 species